UUCUCAAGGUGGAAGCGGCAAUAUGGUAAUUGUUGUCCUUUGCAGACAUGGAAUUUUGUUUGAGCAUAUCAUAAUUGUCCUUACCCAGAUUUUCAAGAGUGGACCACUUUUCAUAUCUUCCAAAGAAUAAAUCACUCUCUUUUGCAUCUUUGCAAACCUCUCCUCCAUUAUGAAAACCUAUAGAAAUCAUAUAGAAUUUAUAAAAUACACUAACUCCACAAUGCAAUUCCUCUUUACAGGUACCUUUCUUCUUGAA